CGUCCCCAUUGGUGUGAGCGCGGAGUCUCCUGCGGGCUCUGCUGGUCUCUAAAAUGUGUCUGACGGUGAGAACAUUGAGCAGCAGAAUCAGGAGAAAUGGGACACCGGGGUUAGAAUGUGGUGGAGGAACUUGAUUGUGACCCAAACACUGGACAAUCGAACAGCGACUGUUCCAUCACAAAACCAGGGGAGGUUCGCCAGCUUCUGGAAACAAAUGGCCACAAACCGAUCAAAGGUGAAAUGGACGGUGAACCAGACAGAGCAGUCAGUGGCUGCAUAAAGCAGGACGGCGUGGAUAUUACACACGGGGACAGAGUACAUCAAGAAAUAAAACUGAUCCUGAUAAACAAUGGGAAUGUGUCUCAGGAUCAGGUCGAGGAUAAUGACCAGGAGAUCCGCCGCUGCCAUGGCCCCCAGGUAUCUGUGUUAGCUGUCUGGAUACAGAAUUGGCUGGCCAGCAGAAGACAGCGAGUGGUAGUGGAAGUAAAAUAUUCUGCCUGGAAGUCUGUGGGCCAUAUAAACAUAUCUUCAAAUCGACCGAGACAAUUUUCUGCUCAGGGUAUGGCUCUGUGUAUGCAGCAAUGAUGCACCGACAUGGAACAGGGAAUGUGAUGGAGACAUAGUUUGGACAAUGUACAAGGAGACCUCACAUGGUCCAGUUUGGGAGAGAAUGACAUUAUUGUGUGAUUCAACUCAGAGAGGGAGAAAAUGUCAUCUGCUCGAGAAGAAACGGCCUAUUGCACUCUCACUCCUUCAUUAUUCCUCAUCACAGGAACGUGUACGAGCUAAAACAAAACUCUACUGUUAUCGUUACCAUUCUUAUUUUUAUAGAAUCCCUGCAGUGUGGAAACGAGCCCUUCGGCCCAACAAGUCCAUACCAACCCUCCAAAGAGUAACCUUCCCAUGCCCUUACAGUUACCACUGACUAGUGCACCUGAAGUAGAAAUCGCUAAUUAUUAUGUACUAUUUGACCAAUCCACUUGAAUUAUACAGCUUUGGGAGGAAACGGGAGCACCCAUCAGAAGCUCAUGCAGACACGGGGAGAAGAUCCAAACUCCACGCAGAUAGUCACCUGAGGCUGGAAUUGAACUCAUGUCCCUGAUGCUGUUAUGGAACAGUGCGAACUACUGAGCCACUGUGCUAACCUGGAACCUCUUGCCAGCCUAAUGCAAAGGGAAUUCAGCCAAAUCCAACUCUCCCAGGAUAAAAUCCCAUUGCUAGCAGCUAUGAUGUAUGAAGCCAUGGCCAGGGCAGCAUGUUAUGCAGAUCUUGCACUGAGUGGCUGGUUCAGCUGUUCCACAGGACCGUAAAGAGUAAAACACAUUGCUGUGGGUUUGUAGUGCUACAAGAUAAAUCUUGCUGUUUAAUUAAAACCAGCAAUGGAGAAAAUAUUUAUCCCAUGCAGUAAUCUGUGAUAAUUCUAGAUGCAAAUCUAUUUAAAGUAAAAAUUAACAACUUUAUUCCUUAAAGUAUAACAGAGAAUAAUAAACGAACAACUAUUUAGAAUUUCUUCCUCUAAUCUGUCUUUGACCUUUCCCCUCCACAAUACUAGGCCGAUAAGACUCCUAAUCAAGAUUUACAACACAAAAUUUCUUAUCUCAAAACCAGGAAGCUUUCGAAUCUUCUCCAUAUUCCUGUCUUCUUUUCUUCUUCGGAACUCUGCUUCACUAGUUACUAAUCAAUAAAAGUACCCGUAGGAGACAUAUUUUCAGGCAGUCUUUGCAUGAUGGUAGCUUGGCAGUUCUCCUCUCAACUGUUCAA